GACGAACGCUGGCGGCGUGCUUAACACAUGCAAGUCGAACGGAAAGGCCCUGCUUUUGUGGGGUGCUCGAGUGGCGAACGGGUGAGUAACACGUGAGUAACCUGCCCUUGACUUUGGGAUAACUUCAGGAAACUGGGGCUAAUACCGGAUAGGAGCUCCUGCUGCAUGGUGGGGGUUGGAAAGUUUCGGCGGUUGGGGAUGGACUCGCGGCUUAUCAGCUUGUUGGUGGGGUAGUGGCUUACCAAGGCUUUGACGGGUAGCCGGCCUGAGAGGGUGACCGGCCACAUUGGGACUGAGAUACGGCCCAGACUCCUACGGGAGGCAGCAGUGGGGAAUAUUGCACAAUGGGCGGACGCCUGAUGCAGCAACGCCGCGUGCGGGAUGACGGCCUUCGGGUUGUAAACCGCUUUCGCCUGUGACGAAGAGUGAGUGACGGUAAUGGGUAAAGAAGCACCGGCUAACUACGUG
rnacentral:rRNA from 1 species